AUUGAACGCUGGCGGCAUGCCUUACACAUGCAAGUCGAACGGUAACGCGGGGCAACCUGGCGACGAGUGGCGAACGGGUGAGUAAUGCAUCGGAACGUGCCCAGUAGUGGGGGAUAGCCCGGCGAAAGCCGGAUUAAUACCGCAUACGACCUACGGGUGAAAGGGGGGGAUCGCAAGACCUCUCGCUAUUGGAGCGGCCGACGUCAGAUUAGGUAGUUGGUAGGGUAAAGGCCUACCAAGCCGACGAUCUGUAGCUGGUCUGAGAGGACGACCAGCCACACUGGGACUGAGACACGGCCCAGACUCCUACGGGAGGCAGCAGUGGGGAAUUUUGGACAAUGGGCGCAAGCCUGAUCCAGCCAUGCCGCGUGCGGGAAGAAGGCCUUCGGGUUGUAAACCGCUUUUGUCAGGGAAGAAAUCUUCUGGGUUAAUACCUCGGGAGGAUGACGGUACCUGAAGAAUAAGCACCGGCUAACUACGUGCCAGCCGCCGCCGUAACAC
rnacentral:rRNA from 1 species